ACAUUUACCUGGCAGAAAAGAUGCCAUAAUCACACUUGUGGCUUCCCCAAGGCUGUGCUCACCCAUUGAACUCAGGAUGAGCUUAUCACUGAGAUUUUUCCAAAUGUGCAGAAAUCAAGUACCUAAUUUGUGACAGAAAGGGGUGGCAUUCCUACUCUCUCUCU
ensembl:snRNA U1 U1 spliceosomal RNA